AGGCCAUGAUGCGGGCAAAGUCUUGUCAUGUCUUUGUACCUUUCCCAUACUUCAAAGAGGGAUUUUCCAUCAAAUUAUCUAAAACAAGUGAUUUGGUUUCUUUAAACU